GGGAUAUUGCACAAUGGGCGCAAGCCUGAUGCAGCAACGCCGCGUGCGGGAAGACGGCCUUCGGGUUGUAAACCGCUGUCCUUGGGGAAGAAACAAAUGACGGUACCCAAGAAGGAAGCCACGGCUAACUACGUGCCAGCAGCCGCGGUAAUACGUAGGUGGCAAGCGUUGUCCGGAUUUACUGGGUGUAAAGGGGGCGCAGGCGGGAAGCUAAGUUGGAUGUGAAAUACCGGGGCUCAACUCCGGAGCUGCAUCCAAAACUGGUUUUCUUGAGUGGAGUAGAGGCAAGCGGAAUUCCGAGUGUAGCGGUGAAAUGCGUAGAUAUUCGGAGGAACACCAGUGGCGAAGGCGGCUUGCUGGGCUCUAGCUGACGCUGAGGCCCGAAAGCGUGGGGAGCAAACA
rnacentral:rRNA from 1 species